UAACAAACAGAAGAACGACAUUUGCGCAGUUUAGGGUGGGAGAGCAGGGAGGAACAGGGAGAAGUAUCUAUUGCAGGAAGAAUCCUCGCUCUGCCAGACCAAACGCCAGGGAAACCUGCCUGACUGCAUCUGGAAUCAACUGAAACCCAAGCAGCUGGGAGCACCUGUAAAGAUUUUCUUGAUUGGAUCAUUUCAGUUGGGAAGAUCAACCCCAAAUCUGGACCACACCUCCUGUUGGCAGCCCACAUAAGGACAUGGAAGGCCUGCUUGCCCUCACUCUCCUGGCAAGUUUAUCCACUGCGAAGAAAUCCCUUCAUUGUGUUAGGACAUAAUUCCCCAGGAAUCCAAGGCAGACUGAAGACCAGCUGCUCUCUAGGAGUUGUUAGGGACUCCAGAGGCAGAUUGGGACAGCUGAGACAUCCAGUCUCCUGGACUACCAAGUCCUUGGCCUUUCCGUCAGGAGACAUCCAUUGUUGGGCUAAUAGACCAUAGCUUGUGAGCCACUCUAAUAACCCCUCUUUAAUUCUCUCUCUCCCCCACCUCAGUUUUGUUCCUUUAGAGAACCCUGACUAAUAUGUAUCUAUGAUACCAAUAAUAAAGCUUAAUUUUUAAA